rnacentral:rRNA from 1 species
AGUGAACGCUGGCGGUAGGCCUAACACAUGCAAGUCGAACGGCAGCACAGUAAGAGCUUGCUCUUACGGGUGGCGAGUGGCGGACGGGUGAGGAAUACAUCGGAAUCUACUUUUUCGUGGGGGAUAACGUAGGGAAACUUACGCUAAUACCGCAUACGACCUACGGGUGAAAGCAGGGGAUCUUCGGACCUUUCGCGAUUGAAUGAGCCGAUGUCGGAUUAGCUAGUUGGCGGGGUAAAGGCCCACCAAGGCGACGAUCCGUAGCUGGCCUGAGAGGAUGAUCGGCCAAACUGGAACUGAGACACGGUCCAGACUCCUACGGGAGGCAGCAGUGGGGAAUAUUGGACAAUGGGCGAAAGCCUGAUCCAGCAAUACCGCGUGGGUGAAGAAGGCCUUCGGGUUGUAAAGCCCUUUUGUUGGGAAAGAAAAGAAGCAUGUUAAUACCCCGAUGUCCUGACGGUACCCAAAGAAUAAGCAACGGCUAACUUCGUG